rnacentral:rRNA from 1 species
UGCCAGCAGCCGCGGUAACACGAGGGGUGCACGCGUUGUUCGGAAUUACUGGGCGUAAAGAGUUCGUAGGCGGGGUAUCAAGUCAGGUGUUUAAAGCGGGGGCCUAACCCCCGUUCGGCACUUGAAACUGGUACUCUUGAGUAGGUCAGAGGUUAACGGAAUUCCUAGUGUAGCGGUGGAAUGCGUAGAUAUUAGGAAGAACACCAAUUGCGAAGGCAGUUAACUGGGGCCAUACUGACGCUGAGGAACGAAAGUGUGGGUAGCGAACAGGAUUAGAUA